GUCAGCUUCUUCUGCGGGCUCUGCAGGAUGGCCAUGGUGAUGAGCGCGAUGUACGACCCGUCGUCGCCCUCGCCCACCACAUCGAUGUCCACGUCCUCGGCCGUCAGCACCGUCUGGCCGGACAUGUCGCUGGCGCUGCCGCCGCCGGAGAGGGUCAUCCCUCCUCGGGAUCCAGCGGGAGGCGGGGCCACGUGACCGUGCGUGACGUCAGGGCCGCGGCCGAGCCGGCCAAACUCAAGUUGGUUCAGGGAAUUGUCAACAAAGGGACGAGAGACGCGCAACUCCGCUCCGCACUGUGCGCCAGCAUCCCCGGGGCACGGAGGGCGCUGCGGCCCGCCCGGAGACCCCCCCACCCAGGCUGGAUCCGGGCCCUGGGGCCCAGGGAGCGGGUGUGGACAAAUCCUCCAAGAUUUAACUUCCAAGAAAACCGGCGGCGGAGCGGGUGGAGGAGGCGAGGAUGUGUGGCCAAUGCACGCGGAGUGCAAGGCCGCCUAGUUGGGAGCCGCAAGAGCCUGCCUGGUGUGGCAGGCACACGGAACCCAAUCCCUGUCUGUCCGCUGCGGCCUGGGAGGGGAGCGCCGGCCUCACCAGAGGAAGGAGCACGAGGGGAGGAGUUCCGAGAGGAAAUAAUUAGUGAAAUAUUUGCAGAAGAUGCUGGGAUGUGGAUUUAAUUCCGGAUGGACAGUGGUGCUUCUGAUUCCCUCAGUCUGUUUCCCCACCCACGAUCUCCUCUUUCCUUGGCCUAGACACACCAAAAAUAAUUCAAUAAAAUAAAAAUAAAAAUUUAAAAAUCUGUAAACUUGCUUCAUUACAGGCAUUGAGACACACAGAUUGACUUUCAUCCCCAUUAGACAGUUUCCCAGGAUAUAACACUACUCAUCUGAGGCUGGGAGCAGGGUAGGGGGUGGUGACA
rnacentral:lncRNA from 1 species